UACGGAAGGCAGCAGUGGGGAAUAUUGCACAAUGGGCGAAAGCCUGAUGCAGCUAUGCCGCGUGUAUGAAGAAGGCCUUAGGGUUGUAAAGUACUUUCAUCGGGGAGGAAAAACAAAACUAAUAAUUUUAUUUCUUGACGUUACCCGAAAAAGAAGCACCGGCUAACUCCGUGCCAGCAGCCGCGGUAAUACGGAGGGUGCUAGCGUUAAUCAGAAUUACUGGGCGUAAAGAGCACGUAGGUGGUUUUUUUAAGUCAGAUGUGAAUCCCUGGGCUUAACCUAGGAACUGCAUUUUGAAACUGAAAUACUAGAGUAUCGUAGAGGGAGGUAGAAUUCUAGGUGUAGCGGUGAAAUGCGUAGAUAUCUGGAGGAAUACCUGUGGCGAAAGCGGCCUCCUAAACGAAUACUGACACUGAGGUGCGAAAGCGUGGGGAGCAAACGAGGAGUUAGAUACC
rnacentral:rRNA from 1 species